UUGCCACAAGCUCAGCACCGCUGCCGCCCGAGCUCGAGCACUAGCACCCACCCAUCGUCGUUGCCUUCCCGUCGAUGGGAUCACCGCCCGGAGCUUCGCAUCGUGAUCUCGCUAGGGAAGAAUAAUGGAUGGGCUUUGGUUGAGCUUGUAGAUCGACUUGCAGUUGCAGUGAAUGAGCAGAGGAUUGGCAGUGAAUAAGAGGCCGCUGCCCUGCUUGGUAGGGAAAAUAUCUGCUUGCUACCAAGGCCUGUGACGCAUGGACCCCAUUGAGAGUGCAUUAUUGACAAGGACUUAAAGCCAAGGGCUCCACACCUGUCAUUGAUCAGCUGUCUGCUGGGCGCUGCAAGGAGGUAGUGCAUGUUUGACAUAAAGAAGCAGGUGGCCCAGGAUUUACGAAGAAUAAGGAUCUAUUUGAUACCCUUGCUUAUAUUUAGGGGCUAAAAGUUGCUUAUUUGAAGUUGCUUAUUUUUAAUCCUAGCUGUUUGAUUGCA